UCUGACUGGAUGUCAAACUUGACCCGAGAUGAAGACCGCAGCACAUUCCUGGAUCAGAAGGCUCCAUUUUGGACACCAGGACCUGGAGAAGUCCCGUCCUGGAUGGCUGUGGUGUUGACCUAGUCCAAGAUGACCCGACCCUUCUAUGACGACGACUUCACCCAAGAUGAACCGACCUUUUCCACGGGAUGUCUUCAGAUGUUGGACCUUGCCAAACU